UAGCUGGUGAAAGUCCAGUCACGGUAAUUGCCAAGAAGCCGUGUAGUCAGUCCCAGUGCGUCGCAGUAAUGCGGGGUGCUAAGCGGGAUGAUGGCUCAUAGUUAUGAGUCGACAAAGAUACAGGUUGCAACAUUA
rfam:Fusibacter sp. 3D3 DNA, contig: 1.